rnacentral:lncRNA from 1 species
UCCCCUCAAUUUUCGAUAAAGGCCUCGACAGUCGCGAAGCGUGGGGUCACUCAAAGAGGACCUUUGAAGGCCCCUCGUUCUUCAAUGAGUAGAGGCUAAGAAGACCUCGGUUGAUCGAGAAGCGAAGGAUAACCCAAAGAGGACCCUUGAAGGCCCCUCUUCUUUAACGAGUAGAGGUUACGAAGACCUCGACUGAUCAAGAAGUGAAGGCUAACUC